rnacentral:rRNA from 1 species
GAUGAACGCUGGCGGCGUGCCUAAUACAUGCAAGUCGAGCGAACAGACGAGGAGCUUGCUCCUCUGACGUUAGCGGCAGACGGGUGAGUAACACGUGGAUCACCUACCUAUAAGACUGGGAUAACUUCGGGACACCGGCGCUAAUACCGGAUAAUCUAUUGAACCGCAUGGUUCAAUGGUGAAUGACGGUUUUGCUGGCACUUAUAGAUGGAUCCGCGCCGCAUUAGCUAGUUGGUACGUUAACGGGUUACCAAGGCGACCAUGCGUAGCCGACCUGAGGGGGUGGUCGGCCACACUGGAACUUAGACACGGUCCAGACUCCUACGGGAGGCAGCAGUAGGGAAUCUUCCGCAAUGGUCGAAAGCCUGACGGAGCAACGCCGCGUGAGUGAUGAAGGUCUUCGGAUCGUAAAACUCUGUUAUUAGUGAUGAACAAAUGUGUAAGUAACUAUGCACGUCUUGACGGUACCUAAUCAGAAAGCCACGGCUAACUACGUG